GAUGAACGCUGGCGGCGUGCCUAAUACAUGCCAGUCGAGCGAGCGGACGAGAAGCUUGCUUCUCUGAUGUUAGCGGCGGACGGGUGAGUAACACGUGGAUAACCUACCUAUAAGACUGGGAUAACUUCGGGAAACCGUAGCUAAUACCGGAUAAUAUUUUGAACCGCAUGGUUCAAAAGUGAAAGACGGUCUUGCUGUCACUUAUAGAUGGAUCCGCGCUGCAUUAGCUAGUUGGUAAGGUAACGGCCUACCAAGGCAACGAUGCAUAGCCGACCUGAGAGGGUGAUCGGCCACACUGGAACUGAGACACGGUCCAGACUCCUACGGGAGGCAGCACUAGGGAAUCUUCCGCAAUGGGCGAAAGCCUGACGGAGCAACGCCGCGUGAGUGAUGAAGGUCUUCGGAUCGUAAAACUCUGUUAUUAGGGAAGAACAUAUGUGCAAGUAACUGUGCACAUCUUGACGGUACCUAAUCAGAAAGCCACGGCUAACUACGUG
rnacentral:rRNA from 1 species